rnacentral:misc_RNA from 1 species
CACAAAUUAUUUUGGGGUUGUCUUGGCCGUCGUCUUAAUUUUUUAUGCAUUAAUUAAUUAAAGAUACAGUCCACUAUUUUUAUAUUUCUCCAACAUUUUUUGGUCACUUCGAUCGCGGAUUUGGAUUUAGGAUUUUGAUUGCAUACCUACAUUUCAGCAAAAAAUUACAUCCAAAACGUGUAAGAGCAUACAAAAUUAUUAUUCGGUAUUGCUAUAUUGGUAAACCUCAUGUUAAAAUUGUUUAAAAUUUUGGUUAAUUAUAGAAAUUCCAUUCUCGAGUCAAUCGGACAGUACCGUCUAUCUAUCUCUCUUCUCACAUUUAGCGUCUCAACGCGUCGAUAAUUGCAUAUCGCGUCAGUUGCAGCGCCGCUGGUCCCUCGUCCGUCUCUUAUUAUAUUUUUACAGAGUGGAAUAGUAAAUCAACUCGGUUUCGGUGGCUUUACUUAAUAUUAUUUCCUCUCUACGCCCGGACUUAUAAUUUGGUUUUCGUUGUUGGCUUGUCUAGUAAUAUUACUUUACAAUAAUAUUGCUAAUAAAAUAAUAAAUUUUUUUAUUGACUUUUUGGUAAAAGAUUUGGUAAUUAAUCUUAUUACCCCCAAAUAUUAAACCCCCUGGUUUGCCAAAUCUUCUCUCUCUCUUUCUCUCUUUGUGAUACUCAUAGGCGAUAUUUGCCUCUCUCCUCUUAUAUAUGUUAUUAUUUGUAAUAUUACUCAUAAUAUCUCGCAUAACUCCCUCAAUUGUUUUGAUUAUAUAUUGUGACAGUUUCUCUCUAUUUGCUAUACCUUUUCAGAAAUUUGUUGCAAUUUAGUGUAUCAAAACAAUUUCCUUUAUAUGGUCUCAUCCAUCUCUCCUUCUCUUUAAUGCUCUUAAUAUCUCUUGAUCUCUCUAUAUCUCUGCUCUUGCGUGAACAAUUUUAUAACUAAUUUAAUCAACUAUACCCUUCACGCUUAACGUAUAAAAUAAAUAUACAAAAAUAAAUCCAUUUUUUUUGAAUCUCUGAGUUUAUAGCUCUAUAUCAAUAGGUAUAAGUAGCUUGGUUAAUUUCACCUCAUUAAGCAUUUUUUACUGUUUAAUCAAAAUAAGAAAAAUAAUAAAACCCCUUUCUCAUUUUGUCUAAAACUUUGUUUUUUGCUCAGUAUUGCUUUAUCUCGGAUUAAAAUAUUUAAAUCCAAAUUUAAUUUUUCUUCUUUCGCUCACGUUAAUAUGGCUGAUAAAAAGCUAAGAGGCCUUAUUGCUCAACGCGAUAGUGCUGUUAGCCGCUUAGAAGAAAUCAAAGUAGUUGCUGAUAAUGCCAUUAAUAAUGUACGCCUUCAUACACAGUUAAAAAUUCGGGUCAAACACCUUGAAGGGAUUGUUACUGAAUUCAAUAAUCAUCACGCCUCCAUUUUAAAUAUUGUCGCUCAGGGUGAUGAUGAUGAUUUAACGAAUCAACAGGCUAUUCGAAAACAUUUUGAUGAAAAUUUUUAUUCAAUCCAAGCAACUUGCGCUGAAUUAUUUGAUAAUACUGAGCAAGGGGCAGAAAGGGCAACCCCCAGUCAUGUUAAAUUACCUAAGCUGGAACUUAAAAAAUUUAAUGGCACUAUAAAAAAUUGGAAGACGUUUAUUGACCUCUAUGAUUCUAUUAUUCACAAUAAUUCAAGUCUUUCCAAUGUAGAAAAAUUUACAUAUCUUUUAAAUUCCUUAGAAGGACCCCCACUAAGCAUUGUUCAGUGUACUCCUUUAACUGAUAAUAAUUAUAACAUAGCUUAUAAUACAUUGAAGGGUAGAUAUGAAAAUAAUCGAUUAAUUUCGGUUAGUCACUGGCGUGAGAUUGAAAAGACUGUGAAGCUUUCUGAUGAGCAUGAUGCAAAAUCUCUUCAAACUCUAUUAGAUACAUUUACUGAACACUUAACUGCAAUUGAAAAUAUGGGUCACCCUGUCUCACAAUGGGAUUUCGUUUUAUUUUACAUGCUAUUUGAUCGCCUUGAUUCAAGCACAGCCACGAGGUUCGAACUUGAGUGUGGUAAAUCUCUAGACGAAAUUCAAAAUAAACACAAGCAUUUUGAAAUUUUAUUAGACUUUCUUAAGAAGCAGUGUAUCGCAUUAGAUACCGUCUCAAGCUCUUUUAAAGAUGUAAAGCCUAGUACUUCUAAAUAUAUAAAACAAACAGCAAUGCUAAAGAGAACUUUUGUUGUUAGUGCUGCGUCAUGUUACUUUUGCCACAAAAAUAAUCACUCAAUUUAUAAAUGUUCAGAAUUCUUAAGUAAAAAUUCCCACGAAAGAUAUAAAAUUGCAAAAACUAAUAAAUGGUGCACCAAUUGCUUAGGUUUAAAACAUAACUCGUUUAAUUGCUCAUCUCGUCGCCGCUGCGAAAAAUGCUCCAAGCCUCAUCAUACCCUUUUGCACCAUGACUCCUUUGAAGCUUCUCAGCCACCUGCCGUUGAGCAGGAAUCUUCUACAAACUGUGAGUACAGAUCUCAACCUGUUGCCUUGACCAAUAUCAAACCACACAAAAAUACUGAAAGCUCUGUUUUAUUGGCCACGGCACAGAUUCGGGUUCUGGAUUCCCAGGGUCAAUUUAUCAAUGCGCGAAUCUUAUUGGACAGCGCAAGUCAAGUGAAUUUUAUUACAAACAAAUUAUGUAAACGUUUGGGCUUAGUCAAACGACCUCUUUCCCUGUUUGUUAAAGGUUUAGGUGACACUGUCUCAAAUGUCUCUCAUGAAGUCACAUGCACCUUCACGCCUAAAUGUUUUACAAAUCCCAAAUUUUCUCUAGAUUUUGCCAUAAUUCCAAAAAUAUGCGAAAACCUUCCCUCUUCAGAUUUACCCACAGAUUGCUUCACUCAGUUUUCUCAUCUCGAGCUGGCAGAUGAAAGUUUUAAUGUUUCGGGUCCUAUUGACAUGUUGGUUGGAGGUGAUGUUUUUGGUUUUCUUGUUAAAGAAGGUCAAAUAUCGCAAUCGAUUAAUAAACCUGUUGCUCUAAAUACUCAACUAGGGUGGAUAAUUAUGGGUCGUGUGUCUUACCAGGACUCUAUUUCUCGUUCAACCCCUAAUAGCCUUUGCGCUACUGUCAGCUCCACUCUUCUAGAUAUUGUUAAAAGGUUUUGGCAGCUGGAACAAGUCCCUAAUUACCAUGUUCAUUCCCCUGAUGAAGUUGCUGCAGAGGAAUUUUUCCAGAGGACACAUACUCGAAAUUCCUCAGGAAGAUAUGUCCUUCAACUUCCUUUCAAAAAUUUGGAACUGCCAGUUUUUGAAAAUACUCGAGAUAUUGCUCUGCGCAGAUUUUAUUCUCUUGAGCGGCGUCUGGAGUCUAAUCCCGAGCUCCAUGAUGAAUAUCGCGCUUUUAUGCAGGUUUUUCUUGACACUGGACAUAUGGAAAUCCUACCCUCAAAUAUAGAUAUAAAAAACUCUUAUUAUAUACCCCAUCACUGUAUUCUUCGUCCGGAAAGUUCAACCACAAAACUUCGUGUUGUUUUCGACGCCUCCGCGAAGGCUGCAAAUAAUAUUUCUCUCAAUGACACUUUGUUAGUCGGCCCCAAGCUUCAACAGGAUAUAUUUCACUUGCUGUUAAAGUUUCGCAUCCAUGCUGUUGCUUUCACUGCUGAUAUUAAGCAGAUGUUUCGACAAAUUCUCAUAGAUCAACCCUGUAGAAAUUUUCAAAGAAUUUUAUGGAGGUUUUCAAAGUCUGAUCGUGUGAGAGACUAUCAACUGAAUACCGUAACCUACGGUGUAGCUUCUUCACCAUACCAAGCUAUUAGAACUCUCACUCAACUUGCUAGGGAUUAUAAGUUUAAAUUUCCUAGGGCAUCUGAAGUCUUAGAGAAUGAAAUAUUCGUGGAUGACGUAGUUAGCGGUACUGAUUCUAUCGAAUCAGCUCUUGCCCUUCAGCAAGAACUAAUUUCGUUGCUUUCUCUUGGUGGCUUUGAAUUGCGAAAAUGGGCGAGUAAUACGCCUUUAUUAAUAUCUCAUUUAGACACCUCUUUGACACAGUUGAACCCCCUUUCCUUUGAUAAAGAGACUGAUUCCAUAGUCAAGAUUUUAGGCUUGCAAUGGAAUCCUCUUAGUGAUUCUUUUGUCUUUAAAAUAGAAUCUAUAGUAAAACCAUGUACAAAAAGAAACAUUUUAUCUGAUUUGGCUCGUAUUUUUGACCCUUUAGGAUUUCUUUCCCCUGUUACUGUCUCUUUGAAAAUAAUUAUUCAACAAUUAUGGUCAUCUGGACUAGACUGGGACCAACCUGCUCCUAACUCUAUUAAAGAAUACUGGUCUUUAUUUAAAGAAGGUAUUUCUACCCUAUCGAGCCUUUUAUUACCUCGAAAGAUUAUCCCUUCCCAGAUGAAAUUGUGUGAGAUGCACGGCUUCUGCGAUAGUUCGGAAAAGGCGUAUGCAGCUGUGGUCUAUUUUCGCAUAAUUACUUAUGAUGAUAACGUUCAGACGUAUUUGCUAUGUUCUAAGAGUAGAGUAGCUCCUCUUAAGACAAUCUCGAUUCCAAGGCUAGAGUUGUGCUCGGCUGUCUUAUUGGCAGAUUUAAUGUCUUCAGUUAAAGAAGCGUUUGCCGAUUCUAUAAAUAUUUCGUCAUUGUUUGCAUGGACUGAUUCCACCGUAGCUUUAAGCUGGAUAAAGUCUUCUCCCCAUAAAUGGACUACUUUUGUAAGUAACCGCGUAUCGUAUACUCAGGAAAAAUUAUCUGCGGAUUGCUGGGCUCAUGUUAGGUCGGAAAAUAAUCCUGCUGACUCUGCAACCAGAGGUCUUCUUCCCUCCGAGUUACUUCACCUCGAAAAAUGGUGGACCGGACCCGGUUUUCUAACAUCCUGUCUCACUAAAUGGGUUAACGAUCCUUACACAACUGACGAUAAUAUGGACCUUGAAAAAAGGAAGAUUGUAUUAUUAGCCUCAACUCCAGUGGUUGACUUAUGGAAUAAUUUUAUCUCAAGAUUCUCCUCUUUAUCCAAAAUUAUUCGUAUUGUUGCAUAUGUUUUACGUUUCUGUGCAUAUGUAAAGGCUCCAAAACUCGUUGACAAUAAAGGUCAUGUAACAUUGGCAGAAUUGGAUAGAGCUCUCUUACUUUUAAUCCGAGAAGUUCAGAAAGUUUCAUUUGCUCAAGAAAUGGCAGAACUUUCGAAAUCCAAUCCUAAUCUAACAAUAUUACCGAAAUAUAUUCGGAAGCUCUCUCCUUUUUUAGACAAGGAUGGUGUUCUCAGGGUGGGCGGACGAUUGAAGCACGCUUCUCUUUCUUAUAAUCAUAAACACCCCUGUCUAUUACCCCGUGAUCAUCGAAUUACCUUUCUAAUUAUUGAACAAACUCACAUUAAAUAUAUGCACCCUGGUUUACAAACUACCCAAUUCCUACUCAGUCAACGCUUUUGGAUUCCUUCUUCAAGAAGAAUUAUUAAAAAGGUUUUGUCUUCCUGCAUGCGUUGCUUUAGGUGUAACCCUUCAUCACAAAUUCCUCUUAUGGGUGAUUUACCGUCCUUCAGAGUAAAUCAAGUAAAAUGUUUCACCAAAAGUGGUGUGGAUUUUGGAGGGCCAUACUUAAUCACUAUGGGCAAGCAUCGUGGCAGCAAAACUUGUAAGGCUUAUAUUUGCCUUUUUGUCUGCUUGUGCACAAAGGCUCUUCACCUGGAACUGGUUACAGAGCUAUCAAGCGAUGCCUUUCUGGCCGCAUUAAGGCGCUUUGUUUCUCGCCGAGGUCGUGUCACAGACAUGUUUAGCGAUUGUGGGACGAAUUUUGUGGGUGCGUCAAAAGAGUUGAUGCAAAAUAUGCGUAAUGCAUCGAUCCACGAAGGCAUAGUGUGGCAUUUCAACCCCCCUUCAGCCCCAAAUUUUGGUGGAAUUUGGGAAGCUGGAAUUAAGGCCGUAAAGGGCCAUCUACAUCGCGUAGUUGGUUCGCACAUCCUCACCUAUGAGGAGUUUAAUACUGUCUUGACCUCAAUAGAGGCAAUCCUAAAUUCUCGUCCUCUCUGUUCAUUAAGUAGCGACCCUAAUGACUUAAACCCUCUGACCCCAAGUCAUUUUUUGAAUUUGGAACCUUUAAAUACCUUCGUUGAAUCCGACCUAACAGAGAUUAAAUUGGGUCGUCUUUCGCGCUGGCAACUUAUUCAACGUAUCCACCAGGAUUUUUGGAAGAGGUGGCAUAAUGAAUAUUUACACACCCUUAAUCAGAGGUCGAAGUGGUAUGAUACAGGUAAAGCCAUUGAAAUUGAUUCGUUGGUAUUAUUAAAGGAGGAUAAUGCUCCACCCCUUUCGUGGUUGUUGGGUCGUGUAAUAGAAUGUUUUCCAGGCAGGGAUGGCAUUACGCGUGUUGUAGCGGUAAAGACGCAUAAGGGGAUACUGCGCCGUCCUGUCUCGAAGUUAUGUUCAUUACCGAACAAUUAGUCUUUCCUGCGGAAAAUUUAUAUUUCGCGUUAGAAUUCAUGCUUUUUUUUAUUAUUUUUGCUCUUUUUUUUUUUUUUUACUUAAAAUGUGGGACAUUUUAGGUGGGCGGUAUGUUCCGUCAAAUCGGAAGACUCAUUUCUUUAUUUAUUUUUAUUCUUUUUUUAUUGUCAAUAUUCAUAUAAUUAUAUUUAACAUGAGCUUUGCUUCGUCGUGGUACUGAUCGUUGUUAAUAUCUAAAGUUGUAUUCUACAAUUUCUUUAGUUUUUUUUUUGCUAAAUUAUUAUUCGCGGCUUUUUAUCGCGUCAAAUGUAAGACAACCUUAAUUUUGACCGAGAAGAGUCGCACGCACCUCUAGUCCAGUACUGCAUCGUUCCUGAUUGAUGGGAACUGGCAGCAUUAGCAUUGGUAUAUAAACUACUGACCAAAUAAGUCGCUCUCGAUAUAUAAAGACACGCGAGUGAAUUCCAAAAAUUAUAAGUGCCGGCACACCGUCAAACCCAGCAAAUAUUUGGAGGUGAACCUGGAGGAGCAGUCCUGAACAGAAGCGACAGCAAGAAAAAAUCAAAAAAGAAAUUAACGACAACGCGGAAUAUUUCGCAUACGAAAAGAGUCAAACUGUAAACGAGGCAAGACGUCCAGGAAAACCGAAAAAUGCCGGCGAUUUCUUCGGGAUGGAGGGCACGUUUAAAAAGCUGGAAGUGGAUUGAUUAAUUAUUACUAUAUAACGACAGUUUGUUUAAAUGUUUUUAUUUUAACCAUUUGCUAAUAAAUAUUGAAAAUUUUUUGAAAGAA